AUUGAACGCCGGCGGCAGGCUUAACACAUGCAAGUCGAGCGGGGGAAGGUAGCUUGCUACCGGACCUAGCGGCGGACGGGUGAGUAAUGCUUAGGAAUCUGCCUAUUAGUGGGGGACAACAUCUCGAAAGGGAUGCUAAUACCGCAUACGUCCUACGGGAGAAAGCAGGGGAUCUUCGGACCUUGCGCUAAUCGAUGAGCCUAAGUCGGAUUAGCUAGUUGGUGGGGUAAGGCCUACCAAGGCGACGAUCUGUAGCGGGUCUGAGAGGAUGAUCCGCCACACUGGGACUGAGACACGGCCCAGACUCCUACGGGAGGCAGCAGUGGGGAAUAUUGGACAAUGGGGGGAACCCUGAUCCAGCCAUGCCGCGUGUGUGAAGAAGGCCUUAUGGUUGUAAAGCACUUUAAGCGAGGAGGAGGCUACUCUAGUUAAUACCUAGGGAUAGUGGACGUUACUCGCAGAAUAAGCACCGGCUAACUCUGUGCCAGCCGCCGCAGUAA
rnacentral:rRNA from 1 species